UUAGUACUCCUUCCGUUCGGAAUUAUUUGUCUCGAAAAUGGAUGUAUCUAGAACUAAAAUAUGUCUAGAUACAUUCAUUUCUGCGACAAGUAUGUCUAGAUACAUCCAUUUUCGAGACAAGUAAUUCCGAGUGGAGGGAGUAUAAU
rnacentral:pre_miRNA from 1 species